rnacentral:rRNA from 1 species
CAACUGCGAGAUAAUUUCGGUUUUACUCCUAGUGGCGAACGGGUGAGUAACGCGUUGGUGACCUGCCCCGAAGCGGGGGAUAACAGUUCGAAAGGACUGCUAAUACCCCAUGUGGUCGUACAGGUUAGAGGCUGAACGACUAAAGGAGCAAUCCACUUCGGGAGGGGCCUGCGUCCCAUCAGCUAGUUGGUAAGGUAACGGCCUACCAAGGCGAUGACGGGUAGGGGACCUGAGAGGGUGGUCCCCCACACUGGCACUGAAACACGGGCCAGACACCUACGGGUGGCAGCAGUAGGGAAUAUUGCACAAUGGGCGAAAGCCUGAUGCAGCAACGCCGCGUGCGCGAAGAAGGCCUUCGGGUUGUAAAGCGCUUUUCUGGAGGAAGAGGAAGGACGGUACUCCAGGAAUAAGGAUCGGCUAACUACGUGCCAGCAGCCGCGGUAACACGUAGGAUCCGAGCGUUAUCCGAAUUUACUGGGCGUAAAGCGCGUGUAGGCGGCCGGGUAAGUAGGACGUGAAAGCUCCUGGCUCAACUAGGAGAGGUCGUUCAAAACUGCCUGGCUAGAGGGCGACAGAGGGAGGUGGAACUCCCGGUGUAGUGGUGAAA